AGGGCCCCUUUAGCGUCCUGCCUGUACAUUCCGAAGUUCUGUGAAAAGAGGCACUAGUGCUCAGCCACGCAAGGCAGGAAAAGAGAGGAAGUUUUUGCAUUCUGAUUACAGCCUGAGUUCCCUUUAGCAAGGCUGCGUCUCUCCACCCACUCCUCACCAAGAACUCCUGAACUUGAGGGUGGACGACUUAAAAGCUAGCUCCCACAGACUCACCUGAAAAGACUUCAGCUGCGCGUUCAUUGAACUGAGAGGCCGGAUCACCUAUGUGAGGCGGUGGGAACCCUAUGGAGAUUUCUAUUAGAACUUCAGCAAAGUGCACUGCUGCAGCCGGCAGAAGCCAGCUCUCAGGCUGACAGGCAAAUGAUCCAGAUCCGUGAUCGGGGGCCUCUGGGUGGCAGCUCCGGCCUUUUGGUUGUUGGACAACUAUAGUCAGAACUGAAAUGGAACAGGGGCAGGAGAAAUAACACACUUUUACUCUACGCAACUGUUGCUUUCACAUGAUCUUCAGGAAUGUUACUGGGAUAACUGUUCAAAUCAAAUCCCAUGCUCCUAUCAUGCACACCAGAAUAGGGCUCCUGUCUUACUGAGCAGUAUACACUAUGGAGAGAUCCUUCAAAAUCCGUUGGGAGGAAGAACAGAUGAAUUCAUAAAACUGUUCAUCUCUGUUAUCCUGAAUGGUCACUCAGACAACAUUUUACUAAACUAUCAAGGGGAACACUUAAAGUGCCUGCGAGACGGGAAGAGAAUGACUACAGGAGAAAAUCAUCCCAGGCCACGAUUUCCUAACCAGAAUCUGUAAAAGAGUUUCCAAGACCUUGGUAAGAAAUAGGAAUACAGUGGGUCCUAAACAGAAGACAGUUUCUGUAAUCACUUGUAAUAUCUAUAAUGUUAUACUCUAUGAACAGAAAUAUGAGCAUUGAUGAAAAGGUGUAAUGUUUCAAAGUUUUACAAAUGAAUUUUAUAUUAAAAUAUAAAUUAAAUUA
rnacentral:lncRNA from 1 species